AGCGAACGCUGGCGGCAGGCCUAACACAUGCAAGUCGAACGAAGUCUUCGGACUUAGUGGCGGACGGGUGAGUAACACGUGGGAACGUGCCUUUAGGUUCGGAAUAACUCAGGGAAACUUGUGCUAAUACCGCAUGUGCCCUUCGGGGGAAAGAUUUAUCGCCUUUAGAGCGGCCCGCGUCUGAUUAGCUAGUUGGUGAGGGAAAUGGUCACCAAGGCUACGAUCAGUAGCUGGUCUGAGAGGAGGACCAGCCACAUUGGGACUGAGACACGGCGCAAACUCCUACGGAAGGCAGCAGUGCGGAAUCUUGCGCAAUGGGCGAAAGCCUGACGCAGCCAUGCCGCGUGGAUGAUGAAGGUCUUAGGAUUGUAAAAUCCUUUCACCGGUGAAGAUAAUGACUGUAGCCGGAGAAGAAGCCCCGGCUAACUUCGUGCCAGCCGCCGCUGUAACAC
rnacentral:rRNA from 1 species